CCUACGGGAGGCAGCAGUAGGGAAUAUUGGGCAAUGGAGGCAACUCUGACCCAGCCAUGCCGCGUGCAGGAUGAAGGCGUUAUGCGUUGUAAACUGCUUUUAUAUAGGAAGAAAGAGUUCUUGCGAGAACAGUUGACGGUACUAUAUGAAUAAGCACCGGCUAACUCCGUGCCAGCAGCCGCGGUAAUACGGAGGGUGCAAGCGUUGUCCGGAUUUAUUGGGUUUAAAGGGUGCGUAGGCGGUUUAUUAAGUCAGUGGUGAAAGACGGUCGCUCAACGAUUGCAGUGCCAUUGAUACUGGUAGACUUGAGUGAGAUUGAGGUAGCUGGAAUGGAUAGUGUAGCGGUGAAAUGCAUAGAUAUUAUCCAGAACACCAAUUGCGUAGGCAAGUUACUAAGUCUCAACUGACGCUGAGGCACGAAAGUGUGGGUAUCAAACAGGAUUAGAUACCCUGGUAGUCCACACUGUAAACGAUGAUAACUAACUGUUGGCUUUCGGGUCAGUGGUACAGAGAAAUCGUUAAGUUAUCCACCUGGGGAGUACGCCGGCAACGGUGAAACGUCAAAGGAAAUUGACGG
rnacentral:rRNA from 1 species